UUUAACUGAAGAGUUUGAUCAUGGCUCAGAUUGAACGCUGGCGGCAGGCUUAACACAUGCAAGUCGAGCGGAUGAAGGUAGCUUGCUACUGGAUUCAGCGGCGGACGGGUGAGUAAUGCUUAGGAAUCUGCCUAUUAGUGGGGGACAACGUUCCGAAAGG
rnacentral:rRNA from 1 species